rnacentral:rRNA from 1 species
GACGUAGGGCGCGAGCGUUGUCCGGAUUUAUUGGGCGUAAAGAGCUCGUAGGCGGCUUGUCGCGUCGACUGUGAAAUCCCGCGGCUCAACUGCGGGUCUGCAGUCGAUACGGGCAGGCUAGAGUUCGGUAGGGGAGACUGGAAUUCCUGGUGUAGCGGUGAAAUGACGCAGAUAUCAGGAGGAACACCGGUGGCGAAGGCGGGUCUCUGGGCCGAUACUGACGCUAAGGCGCGAAAGCGUGGGGAGCGAACAGG